rnacentral:rRNA from 1 species
AUACGGAGGGUGCAAGCGUUACUCGGAAUCACUGGGCGUAAAGCGCGCGCAGGCGGCUUGGUAAGGUGGAUGUGAAAGCCUACGGCUCAACCGUAGAACUGCAUCCAAAACUAUUUAGCUAGAGUGUGGGAGAGGAAGAUGGAAUUAGUUGUGUAGGGGUAAAAUCCGUAGAGAUAACUAGGAAUACCAAAAGCGAAGGCAAUCUUCUGGAACACUACUGACGCUGAGGCGCGAAAGCGUGGGGAGCAAACAGGAUUAGAAACCCGAGUAGUCC